GCCGGGCAUAGUGGUGCAUGCCUGUAAUCCCAGCUACUUGGGAGGCUGAGGCAGGAGAAUCACUUGAGCCUGGGAGGAGGUUCCAGUGAGCAAAGAUUGUGCCACUGCACUCCAUCCUGGGUGACAGAGUGAGACUCUGUCUCAG
ensembl:misc_RNA Metazoa_SRP Metazoan signal recognition particle RNA